rnacentral:tRNA from 1 species
GCGGCGGCAUCGGGCAGCACGGGAGUGAGGCUUCAUGCGGACAGGUCAGCACAGAGUGAUACCGAGAGCACUACUCUGACACGACGGCCCCGGACUUUUCAUCCGUAGGUUGUGGGUUCGAGUCCCACGCCCCCGCG